CGUACACGCCACCACACCAUAGUCGGCGCUUUCGUAGAGAUGCUAUUAAUCUCUAUACAUUGCUAUCUUUCGGCUGUUUAUGUAUUUUCAUACAUACGAGUUUCUCCUCUAUUGCUUCGCCGCGCCGUGAUUGUCUAUUUAGGUCCCUUGCGAUCGUGUCCAUCCAGAUGCAUUUCCGUUUACCUGUCGUUGAGGACACACAUCGGUGUCUGCUUUCCAUCUGUGUAACAGUUCACAUCUACAAGUAGAAACAUUACGUUCCAUUCGUGAAGCGAUCGCACAAACACGAAGGAUCUCGCUAUAUGCGCAGAAAUAACAUUUCUUUAAACUGUGUGUGAGAAAGGCACUAUAAGAACGGUUUCCUCUUGCCGUGCAUCGGUUCUUAUACGUCGAUAUUUAUCCUGGCCGGUUCGUGUAUAAACGUAUAUGAAUACGUUUCCAUUACCCAUGCACACAUACGGUAAAAACUUGCUUAUUAUAUACGUAUACCAUUAUAUAUGUACAUGUUAGUACGCAACUCAGCUAUUCGAAUACGGAGUUCUUUCGGAGCAAUCGCAUUACGAUCUUCACCAUAUGAACUGAACUUGCAAGAUAUUGUAUUAUUCUGUGCAACAUUAAUAAUGCAUGUAUUUUAUACGGUUUGUAUGUCUCGAAAGAGAAAAACAUAUAAUAUAUUUGUUUAUAGGAUGAAGGUAUUAUUUGUAUAAUUUCUAUUACCAUAAUUGUUAAUAUAAUCUCUCUUUAUGGCA